CUCUGGUAAAGCUUGGCGGCUUUCUGUUUCACAGGAAAGAUUUCGAUGAGGCCGUUGUGCAUCUUAAGUCAGGUCUGUCUAUUCUACGGGAAGAACUACCAAGUAGUUCGUUCACAGCCGAUGGUCUGUAUUAUCUUGCACGCAUUGCGAUGGAACGAAACCAAUUGCCAGAUGCACUGCGACACGCCACUCAGUGUUUGCACUUGAGGCAAGAUAUUUAUCCACAACAACACAAGAAAAUUUUUGGUGCACAAGAGUUGGGUCAUAAAAUCGAAGGUAAACUAGCAACAUUACAAGUGGUUGCAAAGAAAGAGAAAUAACAUCAAUGAUACAAUGGAUACAACCGUGCAAAACAUGAUAUUUUAGAGCGCAUUGUUGUUUAGCUAAAUACUUUAGUUUAACGUAGUAGUUAGCUUGCCGUUAAUAGUCAUCAUUUAACUUUCUGUCUACCCGUCAAAGCGACAUACGCUACAUCUUUGUGUAGCGAUUACUUAUUAAGUUCAUUGCUGCAUUCGCUCUAUUUUUAACACAGCAACAUGUAUCACAUUGUUUAUAUUGAAUAUAAUAUAACAAAAAUUUUA